rnacentral:rRNA from 1 species
GACGAACGCUGGCGGCGGGCUUAACACAUGCAAGUCGAACGAGUGGCGAACGGGUGAGUAAUACGUGGGUAACCUGCCCUCUUGUUGGGAUACGCCUUGGAAAGGGGGUCUAAUACCGACUACAGGGGGUUGGGCUCGGGGCCUAGCAGCUUGUGGGUGGGGUGAUGGCUUACCAAGGCGUUGACGGGUGGCCGGCCUGGGAGGGUGGACGGACACAUGGGGACGGAGAUACGGCCCAGAGUCGUCCGGGGUGGAGAAGUGGGCGAUAUGGCACAAUGGGCGAAAGCCUGAUGCAGCGACGCCGCGUGGGGGAUGAGGGCUUUAGGGUUGUAAACGUCGUUCGCUAGCGAACGGGUAGGUGGAGAAGAAGCGCCGGCUAACUACGUGCCAGCAGCCGCGGUAAUUC